GGGGGUAGCAAUAUCACCGGCGCACGGGUGCGUAACGCGUAUGUAACCUACCUAUAUCAGGGGGAUAACUUUCCGAAAGGAGAGCUAAUACCGCAUAACAUUACGUUUUGGCAUCAGGGCGUACUUAAAGCAUUAUUGUGGAUAUAGAUGGACAUGCGUACCAUUAGCUAGUUGGUAAGGUAAUGGCUUACCAAGGCUACGAUGGUUAGGGGUUCUGAGAGGAAGAUCCCCCACACUGGUACUGAGAUACGGACCAGACUCCUACGGGAGGCAGCAGUAGGGAAUAUUGGGCAAUGGUCGGAAGACUGACCCAGCCAUGCCGCGUGCAGGAUGAAGGCGCUAUGCGUUGUAAACUGCUUUUGUCAGGGAUNAAAACAGCUUUGCGAAGUUUAUUGACAGUACCUGAAGAAUAAGCAUCGGCUAACUCCGUGCCAGCANCCGCGGUAAUACGGAGGAUGCAAGCGUUGUCCGGAUUUAUUGGGUUUAAAGGGUGCGUAGGCGGUUUUUUAAGUCAGUGGUAAAAUUUANUUAGCUUAACUAAGUUCGUGCCAUUGAUACUGUUAAACUUGAGUAUUGAUUAGGUGGGAUGGNAUUGGUAGNUGUAGCGGUGAAAUGCUUUAGAUAUUACCAAGAACACCGAUUAGCGAAGG
rnacentral:rRNA from 1 species